UCACCUACUCCUCCUGUAUCAUACAAUAUAUCGCCGCUGGCCGCAGGGCAGUGCUUUCAAUGCUUUUGACCACUCAUCGGUCGAUUAGUCUUGUGCUUGUAUUUCAUCUCCGAUUUUUUAUUUUUUUUGUUUUUGUUGUUUUCGGUUUCGAUGAUUGGGUGAAUUGUGAUGAUAAAGAAAGAAAGCCAAUUUGCAGAGCAAGUGCGUCUUAUCAAUGGCGAAUCUCUUGCAUUGAAGUGCGAGUAAUUGCAACGUAUGUAUACGAUUGCACCAGCAAUGAAGGGCUUCGAGAAAGUUAAAAUGGCGACGCCCGAUCUGCUAUUGUGCAUAAACUGAAAGCUGAGCUUUAGUCAGCGGCUGCCAGACAACCGCUGAGAUGGAUCCACAGAUGUGUUCUUACAAAAUAGGACUUGUCUACUAAUUCCAUUUCACAUUUCUUACUCGCA